rnacentral:rRNA from 1 species
GUAGGGAAUCUUCCACAAUGGACGCAAGUCUGAUGGAGCAACGCCGCGUGAGUGAAGAAGGCUUUCGGGUCGUAAAACUCUGUUGUUGGAGAAGAAUGGUCGGCAGAGUAACUGUUGUCGGCGUGACGGUAUCCAACCAGAAAGCCACGGCUAACUACGUGCCAGCAGCCGCGGUAAUACGUAGGUGGCAAGCGUUAUCCGGAUUUAUUGGGCGUAAAGCGAGCGCAGGCGGUUUUUUAAGUCUGAUGUGAAAGCCCUCGGCUUAACCGAGGAAGCGCAUCGGAAACUGGGAAACUUGAGUGCAGAAGAGGACAGUGGAACUCCAUGUGUAGCGGUGAAAUGCGUAGAUAUAUGGAAGAACACCAGUGGCGAAGGCGGCUGUCUGGUCUGUAACUGACGCUGAGGCUCGAAAGCAUGGGUAGCGAACAGGAUUAGAAACCCUAGUAGUCC